GCAGCUGUUUCAUUCGGUGUUUCGGCAAUGCUUGACGGGCAUAACAUGCUUGUUGGGGGUUGUAGUUCGCUGAUUGGAAUUGUUGCUCAUUGUACGUGGUGGUGCAUGAGUCGUAUCACGAUCGUUUGGGUAGGCAGGCUCCGUGCUCGCGCAUGGAAUUGCUUCCCCGCGAUCCUUUCAGUCCUAGCCCAAGUGAAUGUUUUGUAAGUGGGCAAAUGUCGGGUUCCUGUGUUGCAUACCCACACUAGUG
rnacentral:lncRNA from 1 species